AUGGGUUUCAAUUAUAGCUACAGAUCUUCCCAUAGAUCUACUCGAUUUAUUUUUCAGUAGACGUUGUGAAUAAUUGAUAAAUACAGGUAUACAGAGGUCUUAAUAUAGUCAGAACCUAGAAAUAUGUGUAACUAGAUUCAGACCUUUGUACACUUGUAUUCUGUUGCUAUUCACAAUCUCUGCUGAAAAAUGAUUGACUAGAUCUACGAAUAAUCUAGAUUAUUAAUGCCCGU